rnacentral:lncRNA from 1 species
GGGCCAACGUCGGAAUACUACACAUAAUUUAGAUUUUUAAAUGCGUUCAGUGUGUUACUGGUUUUAGCGUUAUUAUAGUUUUCGGCCAUAUUUAAAGCUGUUGAAGGGUUGUUAUAUAGCUAUUGUAACUUCUUAUUAGAGAAUUGCUUUAUAUGGCUUUGAAUUCGAAAAUUAUUGAUUUUAUAAUAAUUGUGAUUAAUUUUGAAUUGAAUAUCAGAUCAUAAUAAAAAAAAAUACAAACAUGCUGUAACUUGUAUAUCUUUAAACAUGCAUUUUUAAAUCUUUCGUUAAAAAAUGGUUUUACUAAGUUAAGUCUCAACUUUAAUUUGAGUUGAACUUCACUUAAGACUGUAUGAUAGACACAACUACAUAUUUAUUACUUACUUAAGACUUAAUUUUCUAACAACUACAAGCAUCAUACAUAAUUUUUAUGUAUCAUACAGUGUACAUGUACACUGUACAAUGAUAUGAUGUAUGAUGUACAAUGUACAGGCUAAAUUCUCAAGUCUUAUACACACAAUGUAUUUAGUAUAUGUAUACAUUCUGUAUUUUACAGUGUAUACACUGUAUGAUACAGAAUGUAUAGAUAUACUACAUACAUUGUGUGUAUAAGACUUGAGAAUUUAGCCUUAACUUGGCCCAAGUUAAGACUAAAUUCUCAAGUCUUAUCGCACAAUGUGUAUCUCCCAAGUCUUGGAAGCUAAGACUUAAAUCUUAACUCUCAAGUUAGGUCUUAACUUUAGAUUAUACACUUAUACACAAUAUGUAAAUCAUUUAAAUUUUACUAAAUGUAUGAUACUGAGUAGUUGUCUAUAUUAAUUCAGAUCUUAUCGUACAGUGUACUACAUAAUGUGUCGUAUAUUUUUAUUUAUACUGUGUGUACUACAUACAUUGUUAACUUAAUAAUAUAGUUAGUGCUAAUAUUGUUUAAUUAUCAUUUUCAAACUUUUUCAUAAAAAAUUAAUGAAUAAGUUUGGUUAAAUUUGUAUAAAAUUCCUUUUUUUUUUCUUUUUUUUUUUAAGCUAUGCAAGGUCUCUGUUAAGGUAUUAUUUUAAAACAAACAAGUUAAAUCAGGAAAAGAAGUGAUUAUUAUAAAACUCAGAAAGGCUGAAAAACGAAAAGAAGACUGUUAAAGAAAAAAAAGGUUGUUAAAGAAGAAAAAAGGUUGUUACAGAAAUUAGAAAGGUUAAAUCACAAGAAAAAGUGGUUUUUAAUGGAAAAAUUAGAAAGGUUGAAUCACAAGAAGAAGUCUUAUUAAAAGAAUUAAAUAAGAUUAAAUUAUGCAAAAAAAGUGGUUCUGAAAAGAAAUCACAUUAAUCGUUUGUUUGAGAACAAUAGAUGUGACAUUAAAAAAUGAAUGUAAUAUCAACAAAUGUGCUGAUUAUUUUUUAAAUAAUGUUUUGUUGCCAUAAUUAUGUAGUUUUACCAGCAGUCCAGCAGUUAUGGCAAUGUCUAAAGGUCGUCAAACCAAAGAUGCAAGUUCAAAGAUUUCUAUCAAAUUGUAUGAAGAGGAGCAUUCGAACGUUAUAGUUGCUCUCAAGCGAAGUGAAGAUUCAAGAUUUGUAAGGAUGCUUAGCAGUUGAGAUGAACAUUAAUAUGUUUGAAUAUAUUUUGUACGAAUAUUUUAACAUAAUUAUAAUAGUUAUUACCA